CACCGGCAGCUCUAGUGGUAGCAGUUUUUAUUGGGCCUAAAGCGUCCGUAGCCGGUUUAAUAAGUCUCUGGUGAAAUCUUGCAGCUUAACUGUGGGAAUUGCUGGAGAUACUAUUAGGCUUGAGAUCGGGAGAGGUUAGAGGUACUCCCAGGGUAGAGGUGAAAUUCUGUAAUCCUGGGUGGACCACCUGUGGCGAAGGCGUCUAGCUGGAACGAUUCUGACGGUGAGGGACGAAAGCUAGGGGCGCGAA
rnacentral:rRNA from 1 species